AUGGUGCCUGUUUUGUUUCUUUAAUUCAAAAUAAUAAAAUGAUUCACAAGAUCAUCUCUACAUGUGUGUUGUCUUUGGCCCUGUCCCAAAUGGCGCACUUCAUGUAGACUUUCGGUCUCGUGGCCUUAAAUUGCGCGUUCUCGCUUAGUCUACGAGUCCGUAGGGUGUCCCAUCUGUCAUUUUUACGCUUUAAAGUGUGCUCAUCAGCGCCUCCUUUGCCCCCUUGAUGCGGUCUUCAGCGAAGCCCACACUGCAGCAGGCUUCGCGCAGUUUACCGACCCAGAAGUCCUUGCGAAAGGGCAAUCAGACCAAUCAGACGAAGGAAGGGAGGAGUUCACACUGACGGGCAACUUCCCUGCCUAUUUCCGGUGUGAUGCUCGAGUCUGUCCCAAAAUACGACUCCGGUGCACCCACGUGGACUCGCAUCAAGGGUCCCUAAAGUCUGGACUACGUGAUGUCAUCAAAGUGUGGACUCUGAGGAGGACCACAAGUCCGGAGUGUGCCAUUUGGGACAGGGCCUUUAUUUCCAUGUGCAACUCUUACUCGCCUUCUGUGCCUUGCACUUAUUUAACAUGUAACUAUGCACAGUGACAUCUAGUGGUCACAAUCACUUACUAUCAUUACAGUGCCCGUGUGUUUUGCCUCCACAGAAUUGGUGAAGCAUUAAAGUGCAGUCUGUUGACCAUCUUCCUGUAUUUGGGCUUGAUGAAACUGUGCAUGACCUUUCUGCUCAUGAAGACCCUACUGACGAGCCCUUGCCCAGUGUUGAGUUGCCUAGUUACCCAGACCCUUUGAAGGUCCAAUGUUUGGACGAUAUCAUCUGUGUCCAGGCGGCAGUGUUGUAUGAGACCUGCUUGAGGCAGCUUGUCACACUGUUGAAGUUGCCGGUGGACAGAUGUACAGGUGGGGAACAAUUAUGGAAAGGUUUCCCUAUUGUUUAAAUACAUGAACAUGGGCAUGGUGAACCAAAAAACAUUUUGCACAAUCCAAGACACAUACUGUGUUGGCGCAGUCAAGGAAUAGUGGGAAGAAAGGAAUUUCGAGGCCAUCUGUCGCCUUCAAGGUGAAACGUUGUGGUGCUAGGGGAUGGCAGAAAUGAUUCACCAGGGCACUGUGCUCAGUACUGCAACUACACUACAAUGGAGCUUGACACCAAAGAAAACAAUCACGUAGCCACAAUAGACAAGCUGCAGACAUCGUGGAACUCCAACAUCAUGGAGGAGGUGGCAUUUAUCCAGACUGUGGACAAGCUUUCCAAAAAGAUAAAGCUGGUGAAGAUCUGCACAGAUGCACAUAUCCAGAAUGGAGCCCUUAUAAACCCAGACAAAGGCAAAUACACAGAACUUGGGAUUCAUCACAGUCUGGACAUGUGGCACGGUGCUAAAAAACUUGUAGCUGUAAGUGUAAUGAGUGGGUCAAGUUACUUUAUAUACAUCUCUAAAUAGACUAUACAUUAGGUGUGUUUUCACAACAUUUUAUUUCUUGGAUAAUAAAUGUCUUAUGUAUAUAAAAAUAUAAAUAUAUAAAAAAUAUAAUUAUUUACUUGAGUAAGAGUAAAAAAGUAUUAGAUGAAAAAAACUACUCAAGUACUCGUUACUUCCGAUCUGAUAGAAAAGUAAAAACACUGAAGUUCUUGGGGGGUUUUCACAAACCUCUUCUUGAAAGUCUCAUUGUUCUGACUAUAUACGUAAAACUUUUUUUUCUCAAAAAAGAUAAAGCAAGGCAGCCUAUCUCAGUCCUGCAAUGGGUACAUUAACAUAACAUAACCUGUCAUUUAAGAAGAAAUCUCAAACACACAGAUGUUUUUCUAACGGUUAACUGUAUUAAUUUUCAUGUUUACAACACAAACUUGUCAGCAUCUGCCUUUAAACAAGCAAACAGUAAACAAAAAAGAAUGUGUGUGUCUGUUUGUUGUCAUGUUUUAUAUAAUAUAAACAGGAGCUUGAUAAAAAAAGAGAUCAUUUUAGAAUUUCAUAUGAAACUUAUCUGUUUUUGCAAAUCAACUCUACAUUUAUUAUAAUAUAUAAAACAUGUUUAUUUCAAAAUAUACUUUAUUCUUUUAUUUCUAUAAGUAUAUACAUUCUUUACAAAGGAUUUAAAUAAAAUGCAAGACGUUGUUACAUUAUGCUGUUCAGUUUGUUAAGUUUUGGGGAAAUGAUAUGGAAAUGUGCAGAUGUGAACGUGUGUUGUUUGUAAGGUUUACAGGAUUUGUCAUUGCUUGCACAAAAAGUGCAUAUGACAAAAACACUCGGGACAGUGUGUGAGAUGACCAUUAAUAGUGUUCAAAUAGACAUUACUGGGACACUUACCGCUAUGUGUUGUUUCAGGUUGGAGCUUGAAUUCCUGUUCACUGAAAUGUCAGUUUGUUUUGGUGAACAAAGCAUGCAUCGCAUUAUGAAACUAUUCUUUUUGACCUCUUGGAGUGAAAACAUAGACCGAACUUGAGGCCACGCAUGAUCUGCCUCAGAUAUCUAUGCGCACCAAAGGGUGAUGUUUUGCCACCUCUCACGACGCACGCAGCCUCUCUAACAUCUUGAGAGACUUUCGAACAAGCCCUAUAAACUUUUUUAAAUAUAUAUAUAUUCAUUAAUUAUUACCAUUUGACCAUUUGAAUGUAGUGAAGUACAAGUAAAUUUUUUUUUACUAGAAAUGUACUUGAGUAAGAGUAAAAGUUCCUAUCGUUAAAUUUCCUUUAUAGUUACCCCAAAAAUUUACCAAAGUAAAUGUAAUUCGUUACUUCCCACCUCUGGUACUGGAUGGCACAUAUAUCUGAAGGAGCGGGAAGGCCUGUGAUCAGACGCCGAGGUUGCUUUUUUCCUUCUCGAUAGGUGAGUAACGUUGGUUUUGCAUUGUUUCACAGAACAUCGUAUUUGCUUGUUUGUUUAUCUGCAAUCGUAUUGUUCUUACCUUCAACUAUGACAAAGUCACAUUUAUUUCCACACCCUAUAAGCAUGGUGCGUCUAAACCUCCUCCGUUAACUGUUUCAAGCGUCAUCUCUCUGACAAGUAAGAUUAUUUGCUUAUGUACUUUGUUUACUAUUUAUAUAACCAUCUCAUCAUAAUUGUAAUAUGUUCAUUAGUUAGUCGGUCUGUCAUGAUCAUGCUAUCGAUUUGUUCACUGGAACCGUUUGUGUUUUUCCGAUGGAAGAGAUGUGUUUUUCAUAGAAGGCGUAGAGGAGCUUGAUGAUACCACCCUGUCUGCCUCUGAAGUGAUGGAAGCAAGGUGUUUUACUAAAGAAAAAGACAUGUCCUCGUGGUCACAGUGUGUGGAAGUGGACUUCCUGCAUGGUUUGGGAUGAAUGCAGGAGACUUUCUUCUCUCUUCAAAUAUCCUUUAUCAGGCAACAACUAUGCAAAAGUUGCACUGCUGUUCAAAUUCAUGAACAUGACAAUGGUGAUGGCCGGAUGGACAGUCAAGGAUUUUGUGCUCAGUAUUGCACUUAUACAGCCAUGGAUAAUACAAAGAAAAUCAUCUAAAUAACAAACAUUGACAAGAGGGAGGCUGCUUGAAAUUCGGUUAUCAUGAAAAAGGAAGGUUUUCUCAGAACGUUUCAUACCCUACAACGCAAGGCCAAGAUGACGGAUGCACAAACCCAGUUUUCAGCACUUUACAAUCCAGACAAAGAACAAUUGGGAGAUGCAGGAGUACAUCAUUACCUCAAUGUGUGGCAUGGUGCCAAAAACCUCUCUAAACGAAUACUCGCAGGAAGUAAUGAGACGAUAAAAAAACUGUUGAUUUUGGAUUGUUUUUGUAGUAUUGUUUGAGGUUUACUUUUAGGCAAGUCAGCAGAAGCAGCGCUCAAUCUAUUGCAGUGGAGACAUCUGCAAUCACUGCUGAUACUGCUGUAAGAUGGCUGACAACUAUGAUGAAUUUUUUGACAUGUGGAUUGGUCUCCUCCCUCAUGUUACUGGUGAGCAUUCAUGAGCACUUGGUAGCUGCCAUCAUGGUCCCCUUACUGAGACCAGGGAGAGGAACUGGAUUGAGUCUAAUUCUAUAGCACAUCAAAAGCUUACAGAAUUAAUUCUGGAUGCACGAUGGCUCAAGGACAUACCCAAGUAUCUGCAUUUCAGAUCAACUGCAGAACUUAAGUCAUUCCACAAUGAUGUAUGCCAGCAAACGCUUCUGCUUUACGGCCGCUGUGUACAAUGUGUAUGUAAUUUUACAUUUACAUAUGAUUUACUUGUCAAUAAAUAACACAAACAGGCCCAUGUUUACAUAUAUUUUACUUCUAUAAAUAAUCUUAUGAACAUUUUAACAACUUUACUUCUAUAAAUACUCUUAAUUUUAACAAAAGUGCAGUGGUAUUGAAGGGAUAUGUAAAUAAAAAUGUUUGUCUACACCCUGCUUGGAAUGGCACUUCCUCUCAAUAUCAGUUGGCAUCUCCCUGCAUCUCUGGCAGACACACCAGGUUGGUUGGCCUAGGGUAGGGUGG